AGAGGUUGGGCCUACUUUACAUAAACUGGUAUUCGAUGGUAGCAUUGAAAAAAUUAGCUGUGUUACUCUUCACGAAGAGUACACGAUUAUGACACAUGCUACAGUCUUGAAGAAUGUUGGCUCACUUCUAAGAGACCAAGAUGGAAGGUCAUACAAGCGUCGUAGAAUACAUGAAAAUGAAUACUUGAGAGCAGUUGCAUACCGUUGGGUCAUUCGAUGGCUGUGUGGAUGCCUUGGUUGGGAAAAUUCUAGACCAUUACCUGCAUGUAUCUACACAGACAUCCGAAAACGAUUUCCAUUACGAAAUCCCCUAGGCCAAGAACUUGCUGGCUACAAGUCAGCACAGGAAAGAAACUGAUAGAAGUAGGAAACAUUUUUUGUAGCAUAGUAUAUUAUUUUAUAACUAACUUUAAAGUUGGCCUGCUAAGAAUAUUUGUCAAGUAA